rnacentral:lncRNA from 1 species
CGUGAGUGGGACUGCAGAGGUCUCCUAAGAAGUGACAUUGUGACCAGCUUUAGAGUUUCCAAAGGAGUUUCAGGUACAUGACCUCGACUCAGUCUCAGGAGAGGCAUGACAGGUAAAACAUAUUCACAUGAAAUUAAGAGAUGGAGUAUUUCAUUGAGAUUAAAAGAAAGCCAUUAAAAGGAAUGAUAAAUUGUGAAAACCGGGUGUGACUGCCUAGCCAGACAUGUACUUCCAAGAUCAGAGACUACGUGCUUCAGUUCAUAAACACAGAGGAAAACCGGCUGGCCUAAUUUAAUGGUGCCCUGGGUGAAGUUUUCAGGGCUUUGCAGGAAAUCUCAGAGGCUCAUUGAUACAAAGAAGUCAGCAAGAAUCAUGACCGAUACUGAGUUUAAUGUGAGAGUUAGGGCACAAAAUGAAAACCAAAAUGGAGGUUUUCGGUUCAAAGAAGAAUUACGAAGAUAUAAAGAAAAUUCUCAUAAUUUAAAGAUUACUAUAAAACAUAAACGGUUUCUGUGCUUUCUAUCACACCACCAACGCUCUGUCUGGCAGAAGCUGGGACCACGGCUGCUGUCUUUCUUCCACACCGAAGAGCUGUGCUGUGCAAAGUAUUGCUUCAUGCUGCUUCCCUGAUCUGCUUUGCAUAACUGCCUGGAAGAAAGUACUUUUAUGGAUAAUCCAAAAGAGGGAAAUAUAUUGAACUUUGUUUGCUUUAGCAUAUUUUAUGGGUUAAAUCCAUUUAAAAUACUAUUACAGUGAAAUUCUACAUAGAGAAAGCAUUUCUCAUGUUUUAACCAAUGGUCAACUAGUUUUAGAGCAUAUCUGAUACAUUGUAAUUAGAAAAGAACCCAAUAAUUAGGAUUGUUUCUUAAAAACAUGGGAUUUUAGUGUUCUGUAGGAGUUCCUGAUUCAGUUUAAGGCAGAGGUCUUAGAGGUAAUAUAGUCCAGGGAUACAA